rnacentral:rRNA from 1 species
GACGAACGCUGGCGGCGUGCCUAAUACAUGCAAGUAGAACGCUGAAGAGAGGAGCUUGCUCUUCUUGGAUGAGUUGCGAACGGGUGAGUAACGCGUAGGUAACCUGCCUUGUAGCGGGGGAUAACUAUUGGAAACGAUAGCUAAUACCGCAUAACAAUGGAUGACACAUGUCAUUUAUUUGAAAGGGGCAAUUGCUCCACUACAAGAUGGACCUGCGUUGUAUCAGCUAGUAGGUGAGGUAAUGGCUCACCUAGGCGACGAUACAUAGCCGACCUGAGAGGGUGAUCGGCCACACUGGGACUGAGACACGGCCCAGACUCCUACGGGAGGCAGCAGUAGGGAAUCUUCGGCAAUGGGGGCAACCCUGACCGAGCAACGCCGCGUGAGUGAAGAAGGUUUUCGGAUCGUAAAGCUCUGUUGUAAGUCAAGAACGGGUGUGAGAGUGGAAAGUUCACACUGUGACGGUAGCUUACCAGAAAGGGACGGCUAACUACGUG